rnacentral:rRNA from 1 species
UACGUAGGGUGCAAGCGUUAAUCGGAAUUACUGGGCGUAAAGCGUGCGCAGGCGGUGAUGUAAGACAGAUGUGAAAUCCCCGGGCUCAACCUGGGAACUGCAUUUGUGACUGCAUCGCUGGAGUACGGCAGAGGGGGAUGGAAUUCCGCGUGUAGCAGCGAAAUGCGUAGAUAUGCGGAGGAACACCGAUGGCGAAGGCAAUCCCCUGGGCCUGUACUGACGCUCAUGCACGAAAGCGUGGGGAGCAAACAGG